ACUGCCCCUACAUGAGUUGCAGGUGUAGUUGCUAUGUCCCGUGUGUGUCAUCAGGUGGCAGAGAGGAGAGUGGCUAUGUCUAUGUUCAGUGUUCUGACCUAUGAACAUCUAAAUAUUUAGCAGCCUAACACU